rnacentral:rRNA from 1 species
UAGAGUUAGCUUGCUAAUUUGAGACCGGCGCACGGGUGCGUAACGCGUAUGCAAUCUACCUUUCACAAAGGGAUAGCCCAGAGAAAUUUGGAUUAAUACCUUAUAGUAUUAUAGAGUGGCAUCAUUUUAUAAUUAAAGAUUUAUCGGUGAAAGAUGAGCAUGCGUCCCAUUAGUUAGUUGGUAAGGUAACGGCUUACCAAGACUACGAUGGGUAGGGGUCCUGAGAGGGAGAUCCCCCACACUGGUACUGAGACACGGACCAGACUCCUACGGGAGGCAGCAGUGAGGAAUAUUGGACAAUGGGCGCAAGCCUGAUCCAGCCAUGCCGCGUGCAGGAUGACGGUCCUAUGGAUUGUAAACUGCUUUUAUACAGGAAGAAACAACGCUACGUGUAGCGUCUUGACGGUACUGUAAGAAUAAGGAUCGGCUAACUCCGUGCCAGCAGCCGCGGUAAUACGGAGGAUCCAAGCGUUAUCCGGAAUCAUUGGGUUUAAAGGGUCCGUAGGCGGUUUAGUAAGUCAGUGGUGAAAGCCCAUCGCUCAACGGUGGAACGGCCAUUGAUACUGCUAGACUUGAAUUAUUAGGAAGUAACUAGAAUAUGUAGUGUAGCGGUGAAAUGCUUAGAGAUUACAUGGAAUACCAAUUGCGAAGGCAGGUUACUACUAAUAUAUUGACGCUGAUGGACGAAAGCGUGGGUAGCGAACAGGAUUAGAUACCCUGGUAGUCCACGCCGUAAACGAUGGAUACUAGCUGUUGGGCGCAAGUUCAGUGGCUAAGCGAAAGUGAUAAGUAUCCCACCUGGGGAGUACGUUCGCAAGAAUGAAACUCAAAGGAAUUGACGGGGGCCCGCACAAGCGGUGGAGCAUGUGGUUUAAUUCGAUGAUACGCGAG